UACGUAGGGGGCAAGCGUUGUCCGGAAUCAUUGGGCGUAAAGAGCGCGUAGGCGGCCCAGUAAGUCCGCUCUGAAAGUCAGAGGCUCAACCUCUGAAUGCGGGUGGAUACUGCUGGGCUAGAGUCCGGAAGAGGCGAGUGGAAUUCCUGGUGUAGCGGUGAAAUGCGCAGAUAUCAGGAGGAACACCGAUGGCGAAGGCAGGUCUCUGGGCUGUAACUGACGCUGAGGAGCGAAAGCAUGGGGAGCGAACAGG
rnacentral:rRNA from 1 species